UAAACUAUUCUUUAAUAUUCCCCGGGGAAAUUUUUUGGACUGACGCAGUGCUCAGCUUUUGGACGUUGCGUCGGAAAGUUUCAUGAACCUUAUCACUUAGAGGAAGGAGAAGUCGUAACAAGGUUUCCGUAGGUGAACCUGCGGAAGGAUCAUUC
rnacentral:rRNA from 1 species